GGCUUAGAGUUUGAUCAUGGCUCAGGAUAAACGCUGGCGGCGCACAUAAGACAUGCAAGUCGAACGGACUUAACUCAUUCUUUUAGAUUGAGAGCGGUUAGUGGCGGACUGGUGAGUAACACGUAAGCAACCUGCCUAUCAGAGGGGAAUAACAGUGAGAAAUCAUUGCUAAUACCGCAUAAGCUAGUAAUACCGCAUGGUAUAGCUAGAAAAGGAGUAAUCCGCUGAUAGAUGGGCUUGCGUCUGAUUAGCUAGUUGGUGGGGCAACGGCCUACCAAGGCGACGAUCAGUAGCCGAACUGAGAGGUUGAACGGCCACAUUGGGACUGAGAUACGGCCCAGACUCCUACGGGAGGCAGCAGUCGGGAAUAUUGCGCAAUGGAGGAAACUCUGACGCAGUGACGCCGCGUAUAGGAAGAAGGUUCUCGGAUUGUAAACUAUUGUCCACAGGGACGAAAAGGACUGUACCUGUGAAGAAAGCUCCGGCUAACUACGUGCCAGCAGCCGCGGUAAUACGUAGGGAGCAAGCGUUAUCCGGAAUUAUUGGGUGUAAAGGGUGCGUAGACGGGAUAACAAGUUAGUUGUGAAACCCCUCGGCUCAACUGAGGAACUGCAACUAAAACUAUUAUUCUUGAGUGCAGGAGAGGAAAGUG
rnacentral:rRNA from 1 species